CCAAGGAGUCUAACAUGUGUGCGAGUCGCCGGGUCUUGACCAGGCUCGGAGGCGAAAUGAAAGUGAAGGCCGAUCUGGGCGUCGGCUGCGGUGUGAUCCGCACGGUCGUCCGAAACUCCCGCGUCCUUCGCCCUCGGGCGUCGGCUCGCGGGGCCGGCGGCGCAACACCGGCCCGUCCCGUCCGCAGCGUCGGUGGGGCGGAGCGAGAGCAUACACGUUGGGACCCGAAAGAUGGUGAACUAUGCUUGGGCAGGACGAAGCCAGAGGAAACUCUGGUGGAGGUCCGCAGCGAUUCUGACGUGCAAAUCGAUCGUCAGACCUGAGUAUAGGGGCGAAAGACUAAUCGAACCAUCUAGUAGCUGGUUCCCUCCGAAGUUUCCCUCAGGAUAGCUGGCGCUCGAGGGAAGCAGUCUCAUCCGGUAAAGCGAAUGAUUAUUUGCCUUGGGGCCGAAACGACCUCAACCUAUUCUCAAACUUUCAAUGGGUGAGAAGUCCGGCUUGCUCGACUGAAGCCCGGACGACCCAGGAUGCGAGUGCCCAGUGGGCCACUUUUG
rnacentral:rRNA from 1 species